GGCGUCCGGGUGCGUGACACGUCGGUGACCUACCCAUUUGUGGGGAAUACCCUGCCGAAAGGUGGGCUAAUACCGCAUACGAUCCCUUCGUCGCAGAAGGGAUGAAAGCUCGCAAGGGCGCUGAUGGAGGGGCCGGCGGCCUAUCAGCUAGUUGGUGGGGUAAAGGCCUACCAAGGCAACGACGGGGAGCCGAUCUGAGAGGAUGAACGGCCACAGUGGGACUGAGAUAUGGUCCACAGCCCUACGGGGUUUAGCAUGGAGGAAUCUUGCGCAACAUCCGACAGGAUGGCGCAGCAACGCCGCGUGGGGGAUGAAGCCGUUUGCGGUGUAAACCCCUGUUGCUCGGGAAGAAGUACCGUCGGGGAGAGCCUGACGGGAAGACGGUACCGGGCGAGGAAGCCCCGGCUAACUACGUGCCAGCAGCCGCGGUAAGACGUAGGGGGCGAGCGUUAUCCGGAUUUAUUGGGCGUAAAGCGCGCGCAGGCGGACCGCAGCAGUGGCGUGUGGAAUCUCCCGGCUCACCCGGGAGGGGUCAUGCCAGACGGGCGGUCUUGAGGCAAACAGUGGGUCGCGGAACGGGCAGAGUAGGGGUGAAAUCCGUAGAGACUGUCCGGAACACCAGAGGCGAAGGCGGCGACCUAGGUUUGAGAAGCAGUCGCGAGACUGUCCUGACGCU
rnacentral:rRNA from 2 species